UUCCAAAAACCAUUGAACUUUUUAACUUUCUCAUUAUGAGAUUUUAGCAUUCUAAUGAUGAGCUUUUAAAGAACGCAUCAUGUGCUUUUAAUUUUUUCCAAAUAUCCUUGAGACGUGCUUUCAAUUAUUUUUCUAAGUUCAUUUUUCUUUUCCAUUCUACAUGAGUUUUUAAUGAUAUCAUCAUGAGAUUUUAACAAUCCCAUCAUGCACUUUGCGAUUUUCAAACAUCAUUGACAUGUGCUUUAAUUUUUUUCUAAGGCCAUUUUUUCCUCGUGUAAUCUACAUGAGCUUUUAACGAUCUUUCUGAUGAGCUUUCUAACGUCUAACGAUGAUAUUCUUAAUGAUCCCCAUGAUGAGAUUUUUAGUGAUCCCAUCAUCUACUAUGAUUUCUUCGGAAAUCCUGGAGCUUUUAGCGAUGUUAACUAUGCACUUUUAGCAUCCAAACAAUCAUAUUUUAAGGACCCCAUGUGAGAUUUUUAAUGACGCAUCAUGUCUUUUUAAUUUUAAAAAAUCCAUGAGACGUGUUUUCAAUUAUUUUUCUAAGUUCAUCAUGAGCUUUUAACGAUCACAUCAUGAGCUCUCGACAAUCGCAUCAUCAGCUUUUA
rnacentral:lncRNA from 1 species